rnacentral:rRNA from 1 species
UACGGAGGAUCCAAGCGUUAUCCGGAUUUAUUGGGUUUAAAGGGUGCGUAGGCGGAUUGGUAAGUUAGAGGUGAAAUGUCCGAGCUUAACUCGGGAACUGCCUCUAAUACUGUUGAUCUAGAGAGUAGAUGCGGUAGGCGGAAUGUAUGGUGUAGCGGUGAAAUGCUUAGAGAUCAUACAGAACACCGAUUGCGAAGGCAGCUUACCAAUCUAUAUCUGACGUUGAGGCACGAAAGCGUGGGGAGCAAACAGG